CCAGUUCUAAUAAUUCUUUAUUUCCCAGUCGUUUAAUGUAAGAAGUAAAGAAAUACAAGGAAUUCACUUCUUCAUACUUUUCAGAUGCUCAGAGAUUGUGGACAUUAUGCCUUUCAUCCUUUACCUUUGGAACCAACUUGUAUGGGAGAACAACUUAUCAAGUAUAAUUGUACUAUGGUCACACAUGUCCUUUACUCUCCAUGUUGAAAAUAGAACUAUGACAAGGAAGCAAUUACUAGACCAAUGAGACCUCUCCUGACAGAGAAAUAUCCUGGUCCCUAGGAAGCAUUCUCUGUGAUUUUGGUUGG
rnacentral:lncRNA from 1 species